GAUGAACGCUGGCGGCGUGCCUAAUACAUGCAAGUCGAGCGAACAGACGAGGAGCUUGCUCCUCUGACGUUAGCGGCGGACGGGUGAGUAACACGUGGAUAACCUACCUAUAAGACUGGGAUAACUUCGGGAAACCGGAGCUAAUACCGGAUAAUAUAUUGAACCGCAUGGUUCAAUAGUGAAAGACGGUUUUGCUGUCACUUAUAGAUGGAUCCGCGCCGCAUUAGCUAGUUGGUAAGGUAACGGCUUACCAAGGCAACGAUGCGUAGCCGACCUGAGAGGGUGAUCGGCCACACUGGAACUGAGACACGGUCCAGACUCCUACGGGAGGCAGCAGUAGGGAAUCUUCCGCAAUGGGCGAAAGCCUGACGGAGCAACGCCGCGUGAGUGAUGAAGGUCUUCGGAUCGUGAAACUCUGUUAUUAGUGAAGAACAAAUGUGUAAGUAACUAUGCACGUCUUGACGGUACCUAAUCAGAAAGCCACGGCUAACUACGUG
rnacentral:rRNA from 1 species